rnacentral:snRNA from 1 species
ACCUUGAGAUGAAUUUCCCUUGA